GAUGAAGAACGUAGCGAAAUGCGAUAAGUAGUGUGAAUUGCAGAAUUCAGUGAAUCAUCGAAUCUUUGAACGCACAUUGCGCCCGCCAGUAUUCUGGCGGGCAUGCCUGUCCGAGCGUCAUUUCAACCCUCGAGCCCCUCCGGGGGGUCGGCGUUGGGGAUCGGCCCCUCACCGGGCCGCCCCCGAAAUACAGUGGCGGUCUCGCCGCAGCCUCUCCUGCGCAGUAGUUUGCACACUCGCACCGGGAGCGCGGCGCGGCCACAGCCGUAAAACACCCCAAGCAUUCUGAAAUGUUGACCUCGGAUCAGGUAGGAAUACCCGCUGAACUUAAGCAUAUCAAUAAGCGGAGGA
rnacentral:misc_RNA from 1 species